rnacentral:rRNA from 1 species
UACGAAGGGGGGCUAGCGUUGCUCGGAAUCACUGGGCGUAAAGCGCACGUAGGCGGAUUCUUAAGUCAGGGGUGAAAUCCUGGAGCUCAACUCCAGAACUGCCUUUGAUACUGGGAGUCUCGAGUCCGGGAGAGGUGAGUGGAACUGCGAGUGUAGAGGUGAAAUUCGUAGAUAUUCGCAAGAACACCAGUGGCGAAGGCGGCUCACUGGCCCGGUACUGACGCUGAGGUGCGAAAGCGUGGGGAGCAAACAGG